rnacentral:lncRNA from 1 species
GCGCGACCUCCAUCCGGCCGGUCCAAGCAGAAGGGGAGAGGGGGGAGGGCAUCAUGGUCUUCCUCGCCGGAUUCGAGAUAUCGCCGCGCCGCCGUACCUCUUUUUUCCUUUUUUUCCUUUUCUAUUUUGUUAUGUGUAUAAAUUUUGUUUCCAAUUUUCUUUUGUUCUGCAAUUUUUUCUUCCAAAAAUUUUGUUUUCGAAUUUUAUUCCUUUUCGAAAAGCUUUUCCAUAACUUUUGUUAUCGAAUUUUUUUUCUUUCCAAUUUUUCCGGCAAAUUUUUCUUUCCAUAGUGUUGUUCAAGAAAAAUUGCACAGUUUUUUUUAUUCGCAUUUUUUGUCAUACAAACUUCACCACCGGUACAUUUUCUUGUUUAAAUUAGUGCGUCGGGACGGAUCAGAGGUUGGGGGAGCAAGGGACAACUGGCGCGGUGGAGCCAAAAACAGAAUAGGUUGGGGCCCAUCAUUUGGUAAAUUAGCAUGCUCCGGUAUUUAUAGAUGUUGUUCUUGUUGGCAUAAGAACUAUAGCUUACCCGGAAAUCUGCAUUAAUUCCAUCUAUUAGCACUUUGACAGGAAACCAAGACGGCAUUUCUAAACUGAAUAUAUCAUGGACUCAAUUAGGUUACAUCAAUCCCAAAUUUAGAAUGAGUUUCCCAUCACAUAGUUCCCCCUGUGUAUGUUUCGGGUUGCCAUACCACUACUCGAAAUCGAUCUUUUUU